rnacentral:rRNA from 1 species
AUGUUGCAAAUCCAGUUAUUAAUGAUUAAGGAAAUCACGAUUAUCUCCUGGAAUGUGGGUGGGCUGGGUAGACUCAAAAAAUGUACUGAUGUAAAAGCAGCUAUUUCUUCAUCUGAGUGCUCCGUGCUGUGUUUGCAAGAAUCAAAACUCCUUGACAUAUCCCAUUUUAAGGCUAUCUCUUUUCUUCCGCCCAGCCUAAGAUCCUACCACUCCGUCCCUGCUGUUGGAUCCGCCGGCGGGAUUAUCACCGCUUGGGACGACAAUUCUCUAUCUUGCACCAAGGUGGUUCACGGUGCUUUUCCCUUACCUGUUGGUUCGACUCGCGGACAGACGAUCUCUCUUUUGCGGUCUCAAAUGUGUACGGGCCUUGUGAUCAUGCUCUAA